CCUACGGGGGGCAGCAGUGGGGAAUAUUGCACAAUGGGGGAAACCCUGAUGCAGCGACGCCGCGUGAGUGAAGAAGGAUUUCGGUAUGUAAAGCUCUAUCAGCAGGGAAGAAAAUGACGGUACCUGAGUAGGAUGCCCCGGCUAACUACGUGCCAGCAGCCGCGGUAAUACGUAGGGGGCAAGCGUUAUCCGGAUUUACUGGGUGUAAAGGGAGCGUAGACGGGAGUGCAAGUCUGAAGUGAAAGGCGGGGGCUCAACCCCCGGACUGCACUGGAAACUGUACGGCUGGAGUGCCGGAGAGGUCAGUGGAAUUCCUGGUGUAGCGGUGAAAUGCGUAGAUAUUAGGAGGAACACCAGUGGCGAAGGCGGAUUACUGGACUGUAACUGACGUUGAGGCUCGAAAGCGUGGGGAGCAAACAGGAUUAGAUACCCGAGUAGUC
rnacentral:rRNA from 1 species